rnacentral:rRNA from 1 species
UACGUAAGGACCGAGCGUUGUCCGGAAUCAUUGGGCGUAAAGGGUACGUAGGCGGGUAUUUAAGUUAGAAGUCAAAGGCUAUAGCUCCACUAUAGUAAGCUUCUAAAACUGAAUAACUUGAGAGAUGGAAGGGAAAGUGGAAUUCCUAGUGUAGCGGUGGACUGCGCAGAUAUUAGGAAGAAUACCUGGGGCGAAGGCGACUUUCUGGCCAUCUUCUGACGCUGAGGUACGAAAGCGUGGGUAGCAAACAGG